rnacentral:misc_RNA from 1 species
GAUUAAGAACGCAGCGAAAUGCGAUAACUAAUGUGAAUUGCAGAAUUCAGUGAAUCAUCGAGUCUUUGAACGCACAUUGCGCCCCCUGGUAUUCCGGGGGGCAUGCCUGUCCGAGCGUCAUUGCUGCCCUCAAGCACGGCUUGUGUGUUGGGCUCCGUCCCCCCGGGGACGGGCCCGAAAGGCAGCGGCGGCACCGAGUCCGGUCCUCGAGCGUAUGGGGCUUUGUCACCCGCUCUGUAGGCCCGGCCGGCGCCAGCCGACAACCCAUCAUCCUUUUCAGGUUGACCUCGGAUCAGGUAGGGAUACCCGCUGAACUUAAGCAUAUCAAUAAGCGGAGGA